UUUUUAAAUGCAAGCUAUUGUGACACCAGAUAUGAGUGGUGGCACUGGGCACCGUAUCCACUGUGAGCUUAACACACCGGCUUUAAGGACACUGACUGCUAUUCAAUCUAUAACAGUGAAAAAAGUUUUUUGUUUUUAAAUGCAAGCUAUUGUGACACCAGUGAGUGGUGGCACUGGGCACCGUAUCCACUGUGAGCUUAACACACCCGCUUUAAGGACACUGACUGCUAUUCAAUCUAUAACAGUGAAAAAAGUUUUUGUUUUUAAAUGCAAGCUAUUGUGACACUAGAUAUGAGUGGUGGCACUGGGCACCGUAUCCACUGUGAGCUUAACACACCCGCUUUAAGGACACUGACUGCUAUUCAAUCUAUAACAGUGAAAAAAGUUUUUUUUUUUAAAUGCAAGCUAUUGUGACACCAGAUAUGAGUGGUGGCACUGGGCACUGUAUCCACUGUGAGCUUAACACACC